GGGGCUAUGGCGCAGUUGGGAGCGCGCUUGAAUGGCAUUCAAGAGGUCGGGGGUUCGAAUCCCCCUAGCUCCACCA
rnacentral:tRNA from 2 species